rnacentral:rRNA from 1 species
GAUGAACGCUGGCGGCGUGCCUAAUACAUGCAAGUCGAGCGAACGGACGAGAAGCUUGCUUCUCUGAUGUUAGCGGCGGACGGGUGAGUAACACGUGGAUAACCUACCUAUAAGACUGGGAUAACUUCGGGAAACCGUAGCUAAUACCGGAUAAUAUUUUGAACCGCAUGGUUCAAAAGUGAAAGACGGUCUUGCUGUCACUUAUAGAUGGAUCCGCGCUGCAUUAGCUAGUUGGUAAGGUAACGGCUUACCAAGGCAACGAUGCAUGGCCGACCUGAGAGGGUGAUCGGCCACACUGGAACUGAGACACGGUCCAGACUCCUACGGGAGGCAGCAGUAGGGAAUCUUCCGCAAUGGGCGAAAGCCUGACGGAGCAACGCCGCGUGAGUGAUGAAGGUCUUCGGAUCGUAAAACUCUGUCAUUAGGGAAGAACAUAUGUGUAAGUAACUGUGCACAUCUUGACGGUACCUAAUCAGAAAGCCACGGCUAACUACGUG